UGGCAGUUAACUUGCAAUCACCCCAGAAAGAGACAGGUAGACCAGAUUGAAAAAGUAAUGCUCUACAUGUUUCAAGAAGUGUUCUGUGUUUCCUUUCAACAACACCAUUCUGUUGGGGAGAAUGGGGGCAAGAGGUCUGAUGAAUGAUCCCCUGGCUACUAAAAAAGGAUUUUCCCUCAGUGCUGGACCCCAGUUCUAAGGCAUUGUCACUUCUGACAGUUUGGACUACAGAAUUGAAUUGAGUUUUAACAAAGGAAAUGAAAGACUUAACUAGGGAAAAGGCAUUGCUUUUGGAUCCCAUUAGGUGUGUCGAGGUUGCCCUAGAGAAGUCAUCAACUAUAGUAAGAAAGUAUUUGUAACCAAAAGAAGUAGAAGUGUGGUAAGGCCCCCAAGUAUCCACAUGUAUCAAUUGGAAUGGUCUAGUUGUACUGAUAUUACUGUCAUGAAAAGGAAGUCUAGUCUGCUUAGCCAUAGGGCAGACAGAACAGGGAAAGGGUUGUUUAGGAGCAAGUGGAAAAGACAAACCCAAAAUGUGUUUCAUAUUUGUAAAGGGAGUAUGUGCGAAUUGAGUUUUAUCAAAGGAAAUGAAGGACUUAAGUAGGGAAAAGGCAUUGCUUUUGGAUCCCAUUAGGUGUGUCCAUGUUGCCCUAGAGAAGUCAUCAACUAUAGUAAGGAAGUAUUUGUAACCAAAAGAAGUAGAAGUGUGGUAAGGUCCCCAAGUAUCCACAUGUAUCAAUUGGAAUGGUCUAGUUGUACUGAUACUACUGUCAUGAAAAGGAAGUCUAGUUGACAGUUUGGACCACAGAAUUGAAUUGAGUUUUAUCAAAGGAAAUGAAGGACUUAAGUAGGGAAAAGGCAUUGCUUUUGGAUCCCAUUAGGUGUGUCCAUGUUGCCCUAGAGAAGUCAUCAACUAUAGUAAGGAAGUAUUUGUAACCAAAAGAAGUAGAAGUGUGGUAAGGCCCCCAAGUAUCC
rnacentral:lncRNA from 1 species